GGCGGCGUGCUUAACACAUGCAAGUCGAACGAUGAACCACUUCGGUGGGGAUUAGUGGCGAACGGGUGAGUAACACGUGGGCAAUCUGCCCUUCACUCUGGGACAAGCCCUGGAAACGGGGUCUAAUACCGGAUACAACCGCUGACCGCAUGGUCGGGCGGUGGAAAGCUCCGGCGGUGAAGGAUGAGCCCGCGGCCUAUCAGCUUGUUGGUGAGGUAAUGGCUCACCAAGGCGACGACGGGUAGCCGGCCUGAGAGGGCGACCGGCCACACUGGGACUGAGACACGGCCCAGACUCCUACGGGAGGCAGCAGUGGGGAAUAUUGCACAAUGGGCGAAAGCCUGAUGCAGCGACGCCGCGUGAGGGAUGACGGCCUUCGGGUUGUAAACCUCUUUCAGCAGGGAAGAAGCGAAAGUGACGGUACCUGCAGAAGAAGCGCCGGCUAACUACGUGCCAGCAGCCGCGGUAAUACGUAGGGCGCAAGCGUUGUCCGGAAUUAUUGGGCGUAAAGAGCUCGUAGGCGGCUUGUCACGUCGGGUGUGAAAGCCCGGGGCUUAACCCCGGGUCUGCAUUCGAUACGGGCUAGCUAGAGUGUGGUAGGGGAGAUCGGAAUUCCUGGUGUAGCGGUGAAAUGCGCAGAUAUCAGGAGGAACACCGGUGGCGAAGGCGGAUCUCUGGGCCAUUACUGACGCUGAGGAGCGAAAGCGUGGGGAGCGAACAGGAUUAGAUACCCUGGUAGUCCACGCCGUAAACGGUGGGAACUAGGUGUUGGCGACAUUCCACGUCGUCGGUGCCGCAGCUAACGCAUUAAGUUCCCCGCCUGGGGAGUACGGCCGC
rnacentral:rRNA from 1 species